rnacentral:rRNA from 1 species
ACGGUGAGGGAUGAAAGCUGGGGGAGCAAACCGGAAUAGAUACCCGGGUAGUCCCAGCUGUAAACGAUGCAGACUCGGUGAUGAGUUGGCUUCUUGCUAACUCAGUGCCGCAGGGAAGCCGUUAAGUUUGCCGCCUGGGGAGUACGGUCGCAAGACUGAAACUUAAAGGAAUUGGCGGGGAGCACCACAAGGGCCGAAGCCUGCGGUUCAAUUGGAGUCAACGCCG